AUGUCCGCGGGCUGCCAGCGGGUGGUGCUGUCCUGGGAGGCGAGGAGGUCACACUGUCAUUGGCUGAGCAUGCCCACCCCGCCCCUCGCGGGAGAGCGGCUGGGACGCCCUGGGACACGGGUGUGGCUCCUGCGCGGCUGUCGCGGGUGGGGCAAGACCGAUGUGCCCUGGGGCACGCACCCCCCGCCUAGGUGCAGGGUUGGGGGGAUGCUCUGCCUGCCUGUGUCCUCAGCCCCGACUACGGCAGCGCACGGGAGGCUCUCACAAAGGCGUGUGGGGAGCCAGGGCCCCGCAGACAUGGGAGGAAAGUGUCCAGAGACCACGGAGCUCACGGAUGGGCUGGGGCGACUGCCACUGUGUGGUAUGCGGCUGGGAGGGUGGCCAGAUCAGAGCCCGGCUCCAGGGAGGGGGCAUCGGGCCAGGAGGGUGGGAUGCCCAGCCUCUCACUUUGAGCAGCAGCUGGUACUUGGUGAUCCUCUGGACUGGCUUCAGCAGGUAAGAGUCGAGGCUCAGCUUGUGGUCCAGCUUCUUCUGGCACUCCUGCCCCGGGAACACCCUUAGACGGCUGCCCACCCUCCCCGAGCCUCAGCCCA
rnacentral:lncRNA from 1 species